UGGGGAAUCUUGCCCAAUGGGCGAAAGCCUGAGGCAGCGACGCCGCGUGCGGGAAGAAGGCCUUCGGGUUGUAAACCGCUUUCAGGGGGGACGAAGCCACUCGGGUUAAUAGCCCAGAGGGUGACGGUACUCCCAGAAGAAGCCCCGGCUAACUACGUGCCAGCAGCCGCGGUAAUACGUAGGGGGCUAGCGUUGUCCGGAUUUAUUGGGCGUAAAGAGCGUGUAGGCGGCCGGAUAGGUCCGUUGUGAAAACUCGAGGCUUAACCUCGAGACGCCGACGGAAACCAUCUGGCUAGAGUCCGGAAGAGGAGAGUGGAAUUCCUGGUGUAGCGGUGAAAUGCGCAGAUAUCAGGAAGAACACCUAUGGCGAAGGCAGCUCUCUGGGACGGUACUGACGCUGAGACGCGAAAGCGUGGGGAGCGAACAGG
rnacentral:rRNA from 1 species